rnacentral:sRNA from 1 species
GAUUUAAAACAGGAACCUUAGUUGUUAAAGAAAUCCAAAUCCGCUAGAUGUAUCAGAGUGUUGAGAAAGCUUCUCCUAGAGUUAAGAGAAAAUAAAAGAAUGAUAUGAAAAAGAGUUUGAAAGAUUCAUGAGUGCAAAUGGUAGAGUUAAGUUGGGACAGGAGUUGGGAUUACCAUUAGAACUUCAUUGCUAUACUCUGGGUAGAUGGGAUCUUAUCUCUGUAUGCAUAACUUGGGACUUACCUUUAGCAUUCUACUAAAGCUCAAUCAUUCUUGAGGGAUCCCCUGUUACUUAAGCCUAUUCUGUAAGGGACCAUCUUUGUCUCUUGACCUUCACCUUAGCCAAAUGAGUUCAUUGAUGAUGCAUUGCUUGAUUCACGUUCCAGAACUAAUGAAUGUUAAAGGGAUUGGUAGAUUUGAAAGCAUGUGUAGGUCGAGUAUAAGAGACGGAUUGAUUGAUAACAAGGCAUGGCUAACGUUUUUGAGUAAAAUUCAAUCAUAUCGCAUCUUAGAACUACCAAUUUGGACAUUGAUUUUAUUUGCUCUAACAUAUGCUUUGGUUCUGAGUCCCCGCCUUCAAACCUCUCCUUCAACUAUGUCUUCUUAUUUGCUUGAGGGCAAGCAAAGACUAAGUUUGGGGGAGUUGAUAUGUCUAUAAUUUGCAUGUUUUCAGUGUCCAUUCAUCAUCGUUUUGAGUCCAGUUUCGUAUCAUUCAUCACUAUUUUAUAUCAUUUCUCAUCAUUCUUGCAUACUUUGCAUGAUUAGGAUAACUUUGCAUACAUAUUGCAUUUCUGAGUUGUUUUCAGGUGAUUUGGAGCUGUUUGCGAGCAAAUUGGAAGAAACGAGCCAGAACCAGAAGACAUACUCGACCCCCAGGUCGAGUGACUUUGGAGUCAUUCUUCCCACCUACUCGACCACUUGGUCGAGUAUCCUCAGCUCAGGCUACUCAAUGACACUACUCGAUCCCCUGGUCGAGUAUCACUUCGCCACACCACCUGACAACACUCGACCGUUCACUCUACCACAUCACUCGACCCCAUGGUCGAGUAUCACUUCGCCACACCACCUGACAACACUCGACCGUUCACUCUACCACAUCACUCGACCCCAUGGUCGAGUAUCACUUCGCCACACCAUCACCAUCACUCGACCGGACACUCGAUCACGUCUUCACAGUCUACUCAAAUCCGCACUCAACCAGACAAGCUGAGCACAAGGAAGAGAAGAGGAGAAGACAAAGUGUUUAGAAGCGGCUUGGACCUCCAUCGGAUCACGAAGCCCAUCUCGGCCCAUUAUCUUUCUAUGGGCCGGGUAAUUAGGUUAUUGGCCUGUUUACCAUCAUUUUAUUUUGUUUUGUAUUAAUAGAUGUCUUAGGGUUCUGUCCUGAGACAUCCAGUCGACAUUGAGUUUUUGCUUCAGUUUUAUUUCUGUUUUACUUUGCUGCGCCGCUUUUGCUUCUACAACCUGUAAUUCGAGACUUUUCCAAGUUAUUCAGAUUCCGCUUUUGAUUUCAUCUGUCAUCUUGUUUCUAUACUCUUUAUCUCUUUACUUAUGCAAUAUUAUCGUUUACCUGCGUUUAUGUCUUUAAGCAUGUUGUCUGAGUAGUGACUUAGAAUUAUUAGGGAUGGGAUAGAGUAGUUGUGGAAUCCGUAGUCUGUAGAAUGGUUAAGUUUUAGAAUUGAUUGUAUCCCUUUAGAACUAGUUGUGUUUACUGCUUAUUUUUUUCUGAUCAACUGGAAUUCGAUCCCAAGCAUUCCCGCACCCAGAAGGUGUUCGAUGGAAUGCUUGAUCCACUAGUUCCUGAGAUAUGCGUCUCUAUCCCAAGGGAUUGGCCGUUUAGAGCGUUUAUUGACUUUAUCAGUCUGUUCUUAUUGCUUGCAUAGUUAGAUUCCGUUAAUGGGAAUUAGUCUAGGCUAGCUUUGCUUGAGGAUUUCUAUCACGGGAGUGAAUUAAUCUGUUGUUGAACCUGUUGUCUAGGGAUAGCUUGAUUGCGCUUGUUAACCAUUCUAAUAGGCUAGGAUACCACUCUACUCGAUUACCCCAUCCUUAGGAGUUUCUUGUCUAUCUUAUUUCUCUGUUUUAUCGUUAUCGCUUAAUCGUUCUCAUUGCCUGUUUCUUAGUUUUUGUAAUUACUCGACCAACAUACUCGACCACACCCAGUGUCUGGCAACAGACUGUGCAGUGGAGUGCAGUUGUUUCAUUUCCUGUUUGUUACUCGACCAGUAUACUCGACCACACCUAGUGUCUGGCAACAGACUGUGCAGUCGAGUAUAUCUGUUUCAUAUCCUGCCUGUUACUCGACCACAUCCUACUCCUGGCAUCAGCCUGUUGUGGUCGAGUGAUUUUAGUAAUUCUGUUAUUGUUUCUGUUUUCUACAUGUUCACUUAGGACUGUUAGAAACCCCAAAACCGUUAUUGAUUGGCUUGACUUAGUGACUUCUCAUCACAUCUCAUUUGUCUGCAUCACACCCAUUUGGAUUGACACCUAAAAUACUACAAUGACAUGAUUGGUGUUUUAGGAUAAUUGACCAUAAAAACCUAUUAUCAGAAACUUAUCCCAAAAUUUAAAGUAGUGUUUCCAUGCUAGAAGAUACAAAGCAAAAGAUUCAUAAGGACUUCGACAUCACCAUCAAAGCCUUAGGAAGCAUGAAGAAGCUUGGUUAUUGUUUUGGAGACAAAUAUGACUAGAUGACAUGUGUAUGAUUGAGUAUAAGAACUCGAACCGCAACCGGAUCUUGAAAGUCCAAGUAGUGUUUCCUUAU